CAGAAUCGGGAAGCCAGCGAGCACACUGGAAGGCUGAGUGGUGGCAGUGGUGGUGAUGGGGUGUUGGGCUCAGCCAUCAGAGGUUGGGGUGGUGGAAGGUACAGGAGAUGGGGUGUAGGAGAGAGAGGAAGAGAGUCAUCUAUCAACACCUCAUUGUCGUCUGAAUCCAUCAGGGCAGGCAGGUCACUGACAUCUACACCUUUUAUGUCUGCCUGCCUCCAUGUCCAAGGUCAAGGUUCAUCAUCUGCUGUGGUUGAUGUGGCUGAUGCAAAAGCUUGAAAUAUGACGGUAUGCUUGACUGCUUAACCUUAUAACGCUUUGAUACAAAACAAACGCUGAACGCUAUUUUCGCUUUUCUCCUUUUUCUGUAAAAGCAAAAAUCCUCUUCGAAUUUCUUUCAUUUAGCAAAAACAGGCACUAAUGUAGGUCUCUAGUAAAAGCAAAGUGGCGUAAAGUGAACUUUCAGACAGCAGGGGAAACCUGUAUUUAACUACCUUCUCUCAGCCCCUACAUCCCACACAUUCUCCUCCAUAAAAUCAGCUAGAAUUCUCCGCGUGGGAAGGAAGGGAGAUGGGGAGGAAGAGAGACUCGCACCUGAGAAGCCAUAUCAGAAUAUCAAUAGCACGUGUGGCAGUUUCCCAUCAUGUGAUUCUGAUCAAGCAUCCCCGCCACGGGUUGACUCCCAGCCUCCUGCUGAGAGUGUCCCUGUCACAGAGGUUUAUUCCAGUGGAGGAUUUGGACAUUCAGAGAUUUAGCUGAAAUGCAUGUGAAUAGAUUACUACUAAGAGAUUUACCUUGAAAUAUUUUGAGAGUAACUCUCCUGAGAUGCUGAAAACACUUCAACCUCGACAUUUCGGUAAAAAGAGCCUCUAGGUCCAUUGGUUCAACAUCAGGUUCUGCUGCUAUGAUCGACUUGCUGGCUCAACUCUGCAUUAUUGCCACUCUGGGACCCUGAGCUUCACAGACUCCUUCCUGAUCGCUGAGCAAUCUCACAGAUGUGGCCCAGCGUCCAAGAUGACAUUUGGACUGCUGAAGCUGACGAGGACAAAAAGAGAAACGAGGGUGGGGAAGAGAGAGAGAGGCAAGAAGAUUUUGGAGCAGACAAAUGACAAAAUAUAAGGCGUUCUUCAGUAAAAUUCACAUGGCAACAGCCUGUAGAUGGACAGGAGUGGGAAGACAUGAACUGAGGAAGCAAGUGAGAAGACGUGGUCUAAGUGAGAUGAUGCGCUCUUCCUUUUGAUUCCCUGGCGCC
rnacentral:lncRNA from 1 species